rnacentral:rRNA from 1 species
UUGUGCCAGCAGCCGCGGUAAUACGAAGGGGGCUAGCGUUGCUCGGAAUCACUGGGCGUAAAGGGCGCGUAGGCGGCUUGCCAAGUCGGGGGUGAAAGCCCGUGGCUCAACCACGGAAUGGCCUUCGAUACUGGCAGGCUUGAGACCGGAAGAGGACAGCGGAACUGCGAGUGUAGAGGUGAAAUUCGUAGAUAUUCGCAAGAACACCAGUGGCGAAGGCGGCUGUCUGGUCCGGUUCUGACGCUGAGGCGCGAAAGCGUGGGGAGCAAACAGGAUUAGA